GUGUUUUUCAUAGUAUUAGAUAUAAGAUUAAUUAAAGGAGACGUACCCGCUUGUGAUAAGUAAGUACAUCAAAAACAGAAGCGUCUGUUUGAUUGAUAAAUGUGUAAGGAGCAUCGGUUUACCAGAGCCGAUGCUUUUUUU
rnacentral:sRNA from 3 species